AACGAACGCUGGCGGCAUGCCUAACACAUGCAAGUCGAACGGGAUCCUGGUUUCGGCCAGGUGAGAGUGGCGGACGGGUGAGUAACGCGUGGGAACCUGCCCAGUGGUGGGGGAUAACUGCGGGAAACUGCAGCUAAUACCGCAUGAGCCCGCAAGGGGAAAGAUUGAUCGCCAUUGGAGGGGCCCGCGUUCGAUUAGGUAGUUGGUGAGGUAACGGCUCACCAAGCCUUCGAUCGAUAGCUGGUCUGAGAGGAUGAUCAGCCACACUGGGACUGAGAUACGGCCCAGACUCCUACGGGAGGCAGCAGUGGGGAAUAUUGGACAAUGGGGGCAACCCUGAUCCAGCAAUGCCGCGUGAAUGAUGAAGGCCUUC
rnacentral:rRNA from 1 species